rnacentral:rRNA from 1 species
UACGGGGGGAGCAAGCGUUGUUCGGAUUUACUGGGCGUAAAGGGCGCGUAGGCGGCAGCACAAGUCAGUUGUGAAAUCUCCGGGCUUAACUCGGAAAAGUCAACUGAUACUGUGCGACUAGAGUGCAGAAGGGGCAACUGGAAUUCUCGGUGUAGCGGUGAAAUGCGUAGAUAUCGAGAGGAACACCUGCGGCGAAGGCGGGUUGCUGGGCUGACACUGACGCUGAGGCGCGAAAGCCAGGGGAGCGAACGGG